CAGUAUUCUUUUGCCAGCGCUUAAUUGCGCGGCGAAAAACCUUACACACAGUGUUUUUUGUUUUAAACCAUUGCUUUGGCUUGGCCUAGAAAUAGGUUGGGUCAGAGGUUUACAACUAAACUUCAAUUUUUAUUGAAUUGUUUUUAAAUUAAUUGUCAAUUUGUUGAUUAAAUUCAAAAAUCUUCA
rnacentral:misc_RNA from 1 species